UUGGAACUGAGACACGGUCCAAACUCCUACGGGAGGCAGCAGUGAGGAAUAUUGGUCAAUGGACGAGAGUCUGAACCAGCCAAGUAGCGUGAAGGAUGAAGGUCCUACGGAUUGUAAACUUCUUUUAUAAGGGAAUAAAACCUCCCACGUGUGGGAGCUUGUAUGUACCUUAUGAAUAAGCAUCGGCUAACUCCGUGCCAGCAGCCGCGGUAAUACGGAGGAUGCGAGCGUUAUCCGGAUUUAUUGGGUUUAAAGGGAGCGCAGACGGGUCGUUAAGUCAGCUGUGAAAGUUUGGGGCUCAACCUUAAAAUUGCAGUUGAUACUGGCGUCCUUGAGUGCGGUUGAGGUGUGCGGAAUUCGUGGUGUAGCGGUGAAAUGCUUAGAUAUCACGAAGAACUCCGAUUGCGAAGGCAGCACACUAAGCCGUAACUGACGUUCAUGCUCGAAAGUGUGGGUAUCAAACAGGAUUAGAUACCCUGGUAGUCCACACGGUAAACGAUGGAUACUCGCUGUUGGCGAUAUACGGUCAGCGGCUUAGCGAAAGCGUUAAGUAUCCCACCUGGGGAGUACGCCGG
rnacentral:rRNA from 1 species